CCUACGGGUGGCAGCAGUGGGGAAUAUUGCGCAAUGGGCGAAAGCCUGACGCAGCGACGCCGCGUGAGGGAUGAAGGUCUUCUGAUCGUAAACCUCUGUCAGCAGGGAAGAACGGUCACUGUGCUAAUCAGCAGUGCAUUGACGGUACCUGCAAAGGCAGCACCGGCUAACUCCGUGCCAGCAGCCGCGGUAAUACGGAGGGUGCGAGCGUUAAUCGGAAUUACUGGGCGUAAAGCGCUCGUAGGCGGUAUGUCAAGUCAAGGGUGAAAUCCCCGCGCUCAACGUGGGAAGUGCCUUUGAAACUGGCAAACUGGAGUGUGUGAGAGGAGAGGGGAAUUCGAGGUGUAGGAGUGAAAUCCGUAGAUAUCGGGAGGAACAUCAGUGGCGAAGGCGACUAUCUGGCACAUAACUGACGCUGAGGAGCGAAAGCGUGGGUAGCAAACAGGAUUAGAUACCCUAGUAGUC
rnacentral:rRNA from 1 species